UACGGAGGAUCCAAGCGUUAUCCGGAUUUAUUGGGUUUAAAGGGUGCGUAGGCGGCAGAUUAAGUUAGAGGUGAAAUUCCGAGGCUCAACCUUGGCACUGCCUCUGAUACUGGUUUGCUAGCGAGUAGAUGCUGUAGGCGGAAUGUGUGGUGUAGCGGUGAAAUGCAUAGAUAUCGCGCAGAACCCCGAUUGCGAAGGCAGCGUGCCGUGCCGCCACUGACGCUGAGGCACGAAAGCGCGGGGAUCGAACAGG
rnacentral:rRNA from 1 species